GUGAUGUGACUGACAUUUUGUUUUCAUUUGCGUGUUAAAUAAGUUCUUUUCUUACCUACCUACUACCUAUUUUAGAUGAUUAUCAAUCUAAUCUUUUAAUCAUGUCCAACGAUUACGGUUUUAAUAGUGAUGAUUCCCCCAAUAAAACAAACUCGCAUUUGCAAUUACCUAGUCCGAUUAUAACUCGGCGAAAUCGAACAGCGUCUACAUCAGAAAGGGCUUUAGGUAAUCCAUUGGAAACUGGUAAAAUCAAGACGUUCUGCAGAGAGAAAGGUCACGGAUUUGUGAAACCUGAAAAAGGGGGCGAAGAUAUAUUUCUCCAUAUAUCUGAUAUCGAAGGUGAAUAUGUACCCCUGCCUGGUGAUGAAGUUAUAUAUCGACUUUGCCCAAUCCCACCUAAGUUCGAAAAAUUUCAAGCUGUCCAUGUGCGCAUAAUUCAUCUCACUCCGGAGAAACACGUCAAGUGGGACGAACCACCUCUGUAACAAUUAAGAACCCUAGAUAUGUAACCUUCUUCGUUUUAAUGCAAGGCCUCUUGCCAUCGAACUACCCUUCUUAUCUUAUAAACUUGAAUGUAAGAAUGUAAUGUGUGUGUUGUUGACCAGUCUUGUGCACUAUCAUAAUAAAAAAAAACCUACUUCUGUUAUUAAUCUAUGCACCAAGUAACUUUAAGCUUUAAUAUGGUGAUUUUGCUAAUAAUUUGUUUUCAUUGAUUCAAAUGACACACGAACAAUUUGGAUCAUAUUAAUAUAGAUCACAAAACAGUAUUUUAACGAAAGUGAGAAGCCAAUAUGUGGUGCUAAAUUUUGGAUGGUUUUACCAACAUCUUUAAAGUUGUAUUAUGUAAAAUGGUGAAAAAAGGCUUGUCAUUUGCUUACAUUAUGAAUGUUAUUUGUUUUAUCAGUAGAUGGCUUUAUCACCAAAUUGGCCUAAUUUUAUGACAUUUACAUUGUUAUGUUUGCAUAGAUAUUAUGUAAGUAUCAUCAAGCAUAUUCAAAUGAAAUGGUUUUUCAGAUACAGAAUAGUAAUAUGUCUGUAUAAAGUUAAAUGCUACCAUAUAAUAUUGUAAACAAGUAUCUCUUAGCAUUAGUCGUGAUUUGCACAAACUUUGAAUUAGCCACCCAAAUGUGACCUUACUGAUAAAUUGUUAAUUUAUAGUCACUUGUGAAACUACCGUCUAAUUACACUAUCGUCCAAAAGUUUGGAAACAGCCAGGUAAACUCUAAUAAAAGACAAAAAAAUCAUCAAGAUCUUUUUAUUAUGAUCUUAAAUUAAAAAUUGAACAAUAACGUAUGUAAACGAAAUAAGAAUUUAAAAUACAAAAUGAUUAUUUACUUAAACCUUAGCCUCAUCGAAGUGUCCACGUUUUUCUUUUAUUAUCUUCUCGAAUAUUUUAAUCAUCCUAUUAAUUAUUCUUUAAUUCCUCAUCCAACUUUUUCUAUUCGCUCUGUCGAGUUUAUCCCAAACAAAUUAUAUGAGAGUAGAUGGCCAUAGCAUGUUUUUUAAAAUCUUUUCAACAUUCUUCUUGUUCAAAAAGUUCGGAUAGAUUUUCGACGAAUGCCUAAGAUCAUUAUCUUGUUUAAAUAUGAAUUCACGAGCAACGUGAUUCAGUACAGUGGGUAUGGCGACGUCUUUGAGAAUUUUCAAUUAGCCUUCUUUAUUUAGUUUUUCAGUUAUCUUUAUGUGAACAAUCUUGAAAUGCAGUGAAAAAUAUUUUUAAAACAAUUUAUUAUUCGGCGUCGGCGUGUCGGCGAUCUUCUUUUUUGUGCUUACAAACUUUUGGACGGUAGUAGACGGUUUAUUAUAUCCGCAUGGGUAAAUAUUAUUACGCUGCCUAUUUCUGUAGCGAAACAGCUUUGAAGGGUGCGAUAGAAGUUAACAAUCGACAUUACGACCUCACGUUGAAGGCGGAUGGCGACACUCACAUAGUUAUGUCUAUGGGCUCCCGUAACCACUUAACACUAAGAGCUCGAUCACCCGUCUAUGAAAUAAUAAAAUUACGUGAAUAUUUUAAUAUAAUGCAUUCCUUAAGCAUAUAAUAUGAAGCUUGUAAAUGUUGUGAUUCAAAGUACAUAUUUGAACAUUGUGACUGUUUAUUUGCAUAAAUGUUUUAUGCUUUAUUAUGAUUUAAUUUAAAACUUUAGUACAGCGAAUAUACAUGAUAUGUGUAAGGACAA